GCACCACCACCACUCCACCAGUCCACCACCAGGCAGGACGCAGGAGCCGCCCCUUGACGGCGGCGCAUCUCGCCGCGGAUGCCAAAGCGACGCAGCAAGAGUGCGCGACGGCAACAGCAUCGCCUUGGCCCUGGCUUCCUCAUCAAGGUGCAGUCUGCAGCAGCUCGUCUUCCCUAUCGGCAUCUGGCGUCCGGCGGCGCUGCGAGCUGGUGCAGGCUUGCUGCGAGCAGGCGUGCAGCGGUGAGCAUGGAGCUUCUCCGGCCGCUGACCAGGAAGACGGAACGGCACCAACAACGGAGGAACAGCACACAAGCUAAUCCGAGUAGCCAGCCAGAACACUACACAAGUUAAUCUAAGCUCCCUUUCUUUACUUUUUUUUUGAAUUCAGCUUCCUUUCUUUACUAGCACUAGAUAGAUUAGAUAAAUUCAGGAACGAGGAGUUGUUUUUUCAUUCAAUAACAUUUCUUCCUCCUUUUAUCCUCUUCGGAUUUCUCAUGGAGUCAUGGGCAUUCUUCAGCCGCGAGCAUUGGCUGCGAGAUUAGAACAACAGCAAGUAGGAAUUCAGGCAUACACGGUGCAAGGUGUUGCCGGAUCCGGCGCGCGACCUCCGGCCGCUGGUCUCGGGCUUGCUCUGCCGGGUCCUAUUCCUCGGGCUGCAGGCGGGCUCCAUGACUGCCAGAUUGCUCGACAACCUUGUUGCCGGUGCUCCACGUUCUGUCCAUGGACUCGACCGAGGUUGUCUCCUAGGAGGGCGUGCACGGCGGGUGGCCGGAGACGCUGUUGCUCCAGGCUGACUGCUGAGGCUCCCGGAGGAGCUGGCUGGUGUACGAGCCGAAGUAUUGGUUGUCGAAGUCGCGCGACGCCGCGCGCGACCUGCUGCUGCCUCCUGCCAGCGGCCUCCCGGCCGCUUCUUCCUCUCCUCCGAUCCCCUCCCACCGCAGCGUCCUUAGCCCUCACGACAGUCUUGAUGGAACGGCCAAACGGGUACACGCGGGCGGGUACAAAGCCAGAGACCUGACAGGUGGGUUCGGCGUGAAGGGUACCGCGGGCCCGAUAUGGGUGAGAAAGAUUUUCAAUUAUUUUCGAUCUAUAGAUAUAUAUAUAUAAUUAGUAGGGGAGUGACCCUCUUGUUCAAAAAAAAAGCCUUCCUAAAUAAAGAAGGUGCAUGUGCAUGUGGAUUCCUCCCUCUUGUCGUCAUUGCGCAGAAUAAUGUACUUCUGCACCCCUUUAUUCAGUUUAUUUCCAUCCAGAUGUAUACAU